GGAUCCAGACUUUGAUCCUGGCUCAUGAUGAACGCUAGCGGCAGGCUUAACACAUGCAAGUCGAGGGGCAGCGCGGGGCGGCAACGUCCUGGCGGCGACCGGCGGAAGGGUGCGUAACGCGUGAGCGACAUGCCCGUUGCCCGGGGACAACCGGUGGAAACGCCGACUAAUCCCCGAUGGGACGGAGGCCCUCAUGGGUCUCUGUUGAAAGUUACGGCGGCGACGGAUUGGCUCGCGUCCGAUUAGCUUGUUGGCGGGGUAACGGCCCACCAAGGCUACGAUCGGUAGGGGUUCUGAGAGGAAGGUCCCCCACAAUGGAACUGAGACACGGUCCAUACUCCUACGGGAGGCAGCAGUGAGGAAUAUUGGUCAAUGGGCGGAAGCCUGAACCAGCCAUGCCGCGUGCGGGAAGGAGGCCCUAUGGGCUGUGAACCGCUUUUGCCUGGGGGCAAUAAGGGCGUCGUGCACGUCCGAUGAGAGUACCAGGCGAAUAAGCAUCGGCUAACUCCGUGCCAGCAGCCGCGGUAAUACGGGGGAUGCGAGCGUUAUCCGGAUUCAUUGGGUUUAAAGGGUGCGUAGGCUGUGCGUCAAGUCAGGGGUGAAAUUCCGGGGCUCAACUCCGGGGCUGCCCUUGAUACUGUCGCGCUGGAGUGCGGAUGCCGCCGGAGGAAUGAGUGGUGUAGCGGUGAAAUGCUUAGAUAUCACUCAGAACACCGAUUGCGAAGGCAUCUGGCGAAUCCGUAACUGACGCUGAGGCACGAAAGCGUGGGGAUAGAACAGGAUUAGAUACCCUGGUAUUCCACGCCGUAAACGAUGAUGGCUAACCGCCGGCGACACACUGUCGGUGGCCAAGCGAAAGCGAUAAGCCAUCCACCUGGGGAGUACGUCGGCAACGAUGCAACUCAAAGGAAUUGACGG
rnacentral:rRNA from 1 species